ACUCAAAGGAAUAGACGGGGGCCCGCACAAGCGGUGGAGCAUGUGGUUCAAUUCGAAGCAACGCGAAGAACCUUACCUGGGUUUGAAUUUCAGGUGUAAGGCUCAGAGAUGAGUCCCUCCCUUCGGGGACACCUGGAGAGGUGCUGCAUGGCUGUCGUCAGCUCGUGUCGUGAGAUGUUGGGUUAAGUCCCGCAACGAGCGCAACCCUUGUCCAUAGUUACUAACGCGUAGUGGCGAGAACUCUAUGGAGACUGCCGGUGAUAAACCGGAGGAAGGUGGGGAUGACGUCAAGUCCUCAUGGCCUUUAUGUCCAGGGCUACACACGUGCUACAAUGGACGGCACAAAGAGUCGCAAUACCGCGAGGUUGAGCUAAUCUCAAAAAACCGUUCUCAGUUCGGAUUGCAGUCUGCAACUCGACUGCAUGAAGCUGGAAUCGCUAGUAAUCGCGGAUCAGCACGCCGCGGUGAAUACGUUCCCGGGCCUUGCACACACCGCCCGU
rnacentral:rRNA from 1 species